UUUUAUUGUGGUUUUCCAUAAAUUUUUAAUUUUCUCUAGAUUUAAGUGUGGUAACCAAUAAAAGAUUAAAUUUUUACUACGCAUAAACAUUGCGAUAACUUAAGCUUUUUUUCAAAAAAAAAAAAAACAUUGCGAUAACUUAUCUUACCAAUCUGAAGUGGUUAAGCCCACUAAAAUAAUUACAGCCAAUGCGAGGGUUUACCAACCUAAAUGAGGCCAUGUACCCAAAAACAUCAGGAGAUUAUUUUGUUAGGUUUAGGUAGAUGACG
rnacentral:lncRNA from 1 species